ACACUGCUGGUUAACUGCUUCGGAAGAGGACAGCCCGCAGUCUGGAGUGAGCAGCGAAGCAGAGAAAAGGAGACGCCCUUUCGGACAAGGGACUGGUUGGUUUGUUCUUGUGCAGAGAACCCACUCGCUCACUCUCAAACGGUUUUCUCUCUCCUGAAACUCUACACUCCAGUCAUACUGCAUUUCCUCAGACAUGCUAAGUGCUAUACAUACAUGUGUCUACACAGUAUACUCAUAUCUACGAGAGCCACCUCCUUUCACUGGUUACUGCUACUUGAGAUACUUGGAAGCCUGAAGUGGAAGGAUCACUUGAACCCAGGGAGUCCAAGGCCAGCCUGGUCAACAUAGCAAGAGCCCACCUCUAAAAACAAAAACCAAAAAACGAUAUUUUCUAAAACAAAAAAAUUUGAGUGAGAACACUUGCACUGUUUUACAUUUUUGCAAACCUUUCUGAUAUCACCACUAAUCUCAUCAGAAAAGUUUUUAAGUACUGAGAAGCUGUCAUUCCAGCUGGUAAAUACAAGUUUUCUAAAAUUCUUUUUGCUUGAAACAUGGAAUUUUAUCAUUGACAACAAAUACUGCUUUUUUCCCUUAAAGUAAUAAGUGUGCUAUACUUUUUAUUUUCAUUUAAUUUCUUAGAAAUUAUCUCACGUAUGCAAAUCUGAAUAAUCAUAGUUUGCCUGACAGUUGCUCUUCCAAGUAAAAAUGGUAUCUUCCCUGAAAGAGGCCAGACAACUAGCAACGUAAACAAUUACUGAAGUGGUUUUCCUUAAGACAACCAUCAUACUUCACUGUAUAGAAGAAACACUUUAUGAGUACUUCCCAUUUCAUCACACA
rnacentral:lncRNA from 1 species